rnacentral:lncRNA from 1 species
AUGCUCACCAGAUACCUCCCAGCGCACCCCCAGCGGAUGGGCUCUGGGAGCGCCAAGAGCCCGGCGCGCCCGUGCCCGCCGAUCCGACUUACCCACGUCCCAGGCUCCGGCCCCGCGCCGCGGGCUUUUGUUCACAGCUCGCCGCUCUCCCCGGCGCCUCUUCAGUCCCCGCGCCGGCGGGGUCGGGUUACUGCCUGCUGCAGCCGCGAAAGGAGCCCCAGCUGCCGCCUCCGGCGUCUCUCCAUGGGGUCCGCGAGCGGGGCGCGCACACCCGGGGCGCUACCUACUGCGGGAGGGGGAGUGCGACCGAGUCUCCCCAAAAUAACGCGGCUCUGCGCGCUUCGCUCACACAGAUUCUUUAAAAAGGAAGCCCCGUUUCCAUCGCUGCUGCAUCCAUCGCCACCUCUAUCACCGCCAAGAUACACAUCCAUCACCCAGGAACCGGGAGACCUGGAGCUGUUCACUGAGGAGAAUGAAGGCAUCUCUGCGCUUGUUUCUCAAGGAGACCCUGAGAAGCGGAGAAAAAAAAAGAUGAUAGCAAAUAGCUGGGUAGAAAUGCACCCGAUACAAACUAUGAUUUUAUCUUUUAAGAAAAACCAAGUGCACUCAGUGUGGGUUUGAGGCAGGCAAAAAGCUGGUAGCUGGUGUUUCAUGCAACCUUGAUUUCCUGGUUCCAGAUAAUAGAACUAAAGCCAGUUAGCGCCGGUGCCUGGGUUUUAUUUUGAGGCAGCUCCUCCCCACCUCCUUUCCAGAGACAGAUGGGAGAAAUCCUCGAGGGAGGGACUGAGGGGGACAUGGCAUCGAGGAGCACAGUGGGCUGUGUGGUCACACGAUGCUGACGUGCACAGCGAAGCAGGAAAGUGGCCCGAUUUGCCUUGUGUUUUAGGAACAGAGAGGUGGAGGCUUCACAGGGCCAAGAGGAGGCUGGAAGUGCAGGUAGCAGGACGCUGCAGUCGCCCGGGGCAGGAAGGCUUGGGACACGAGCAGGAGUGGGUCUGAAGAGGAGGGGAUAUGGAUUCCAUAAACAGCAGAAGAGGCAAUGCUCAAAGAUAGCUUGGCUCUGGGGCGUGAAGAACAGCAGGGGUCCUGGGGACGACAGCUUGAGUUGGAGGUGCCGCUGCUCACCAGGGGGCUGGAGAGCUUGUGUCAGGAGCUAGAAUCUGGGGUGUCAUCACCAUGUACAAGGGUCUUGAUGGCCACAGCGCGAGAUCAGCCAACAAGGGCAGGUGGAGCCACAGAGAGAGGCCAGCAAGGCAUCUGGGGAGAGACAGAUCAGGGAGAGGCAGGAGUGUGGUUUGUGCAUUGCAGAGCACUUCGGAAGGAGGAUAUACCCCUAGCAUCAAGGGCUGCAGAGGGCGGAAGGGAUUUGCCCAGGGGUAAAACACGCUGAAACUGGAAGUUAUCUGUGUUUGGUGACACUGACAAAAACGGUUUUGUAUCCUACUGGGAGCCAACGUUCAGGAGAUUGAGGUACAAUGGGAGGUGACACAGGGAGAGUUACUGAUUCUUUUUUUUUUUUUUUAGAUUUAUUUAUGUAUUUGAAAGAGUUACACACAGAGAAAAAGAGAGGCAGAAAGAGAGGUACUCCAUCCGCUGGUUCACUCCCCAGCUGGCUGCAAGGACCAGAGCUGUGCCAAUCCGAACCCAGAGCCAGGAGCUUCCUCCAGGUCUCCCACGCGGGCACAGGGGCAAGCACUUGGGCCAUCUUCUACUGCCUUCCUAGGCCAUAGCAGAGAACCGGAUGGGAGGUGGAGCAGCUGGGACUCGAACUGGCAUCCAUGUGGAAUGCCGGCAAUGCAGCUGGCGGCUUCACCCGCUACACCCAAACGCUGGCCCCAGUUACUGAUUCUUUUGACAGUUCAAUGAUAGUGUUAAAACCUCAAAAGGGGCCGGCGCCACGGCUCACUACGCUAAUCCUCCACCUUGUGGCACCGGCACACCGGGUCUAGUCCCGGUCGGGGCACCAGAUUCUGUCCCGGUUGCCCCUCUUCCAGGCCAGCUCUCUGCUGUGGCCAGGGAGUGCAGUGGAGGUGGCCAAGUACCUGGGCCCUGCACCCCGUGGGAGACCAGGAUAAGUACCUGGCUCCUGCCAUCAGAUCAGCACGGUGCGCCGGCCAUGGCGGCCAUUGGAGGGUGAACCAACGGCAAAGGAAGACCUUUCUCUCUGUCUCUCACUCUGCCUGUCAAACAAACAAACAAACAAACAAAACCUCAAAAGGGUUUGGGAUCUUGUUCUCACCUGCUCAUGAGUUAGCCCACCACAGUUUCACUGGUACUGGAGGAGGAUCUGAGACUCCUGGGUCAGAAACGAAAGACUUUGCUACUGGUAGCACAGCAGGAAGCAGAAGAUCCUGUUUCUGUUAGCUCCCCUUGCUCCACAAGCAUCGUGGAGAAGUCGCCGGGCUUCUGUCCCAGCUGCACAGCCCCAAGCUUGGUGACGGCCUGAUCUUUUAUGGGGAGCCACUAGCGCAGCUGCUCAACCUUUGCCCCAAAAGGAGACAUUAUCUUUAUUACUCUGACCUGGAGGCAAACAGUAUCUCUGCCAACUAGGGGUGCUUACUUUACAAACAUCCCUGGAACAAACUCCUUCACAAGACACGCAGAAAUGUUGGAAAAAAUUGUUCUUAACAGGGGCCAGCACUGUAGCACAGCAGAUGGAGCCGCCAACUAUGACACCAGCAACCCAUGUGAGCAGAGGUUCAAGUCCCUGCUGCUCCAUUUCUGAUCCAGCUGCCUGGUAAUGCACCGGGAAGGCAGCAGAAGAUGUCCAAGUGUUUGGGCCCUGCCACACACAUAGAAGACACAGAUGGAGUUCUGGGCUCCUGGUUUUAGCCUGGCCCAGCCCUAGUCAUUGUGGCCAUUUGGGGAGUGAAAUAGAGGAUGGAAGAUCUCUUUCUCUGUGUCUCUCUGUCUUUGUUUCUCUCUCUCUCUCUCUCUCUCUCUCUCUCUCUUUCUGUAUGUGUUUAUGUGUGUGUGAACUCAGCCUUUCAAAUAAAUAAAAUAAAUCUUUUUUUUUAAAAAAAAAA